AUAAGAAAGGUGGAGCCAGCCGGCACCGAAGUGUUUAUUUGCCAGCCAUCCUGCUCAGCCCCGUGUACCUUUGCUACGCUGCCUCAGCCUGGCAGCACUGAACCUGUUGCUGCAUUAGCCGAGUUGUAUUUUGCUAGAUCGGGGAAGGAGGGUUGUCUGCUGUCUGGUAGGAGGGCUUUGUCUGUGUGCGCCUUUCUCUCUCUCCCUCUCUCGCUCUCCCUGUCUCUCGCACUCUCGCUCGCUCUCGCUCGCUCUCUCUCGCUCGCUCUCCCUUUCCCGUCUCUGUGGUUUGUAAGGGAGACAGCGACUAUGAGGAGACAAACUGAGGACUGGGGAACAAGUGAACUAAAGUGA
rnacentral:lncRNA from 1 species